UUCGUCGGCCGGGAGUGGAACCUGCGUCAAGUGUUUCAGAAACAGCUGUUCUGACCGUUGAACUACCGACGA